UUGAGCAUCAAUUAUCAUUCU
rnacentral:piRNA from 1 species